AGAAAGGAAUGUCUGUUGCGCCCCUCUCAAUCCCUGAGACCCUAACUUGUGAUGUUUACCGUUUAAAUCCACGGGUUAGGCUCUUGGGAGCUGUGAGUUGUGCCUUUGCAUCUGGGAUAUUUGGUGGAACUUUUUUUUUUCUGUUUGUUU